GACGAACGCUGGCGGCGUGCCUAAUACAUGCAAGUAGAACGCAGUUGCGAACGGGUGAGUAACGCGUAGGUAACUGCCUCAUAGCGGGGGAUAACUAUUGGAAACGAUAGCUAAUACCGCAUACUUUGAGAUGGACCUGCGUUGUAUUGGCUAGUUGGUGAGGUAAAUGCUCACCAAUGGGCAGAUACCUAGCCGACCUGAGAGGGUGGUCGGGCAAACUGGGACUGGGGAACCGCCCAGACUUCUAAGGGAGGCAGCAGGAGGGAAACUUCGGCAAUGGGCGGCAGUCGUACUGAGCAAAGCCGGGGGAGUGAAGAAGGUCUUUGGAUCGUAAAGCUCUGUUGUUAGAGGAGCGGUAACUAAACAGAAAGUGCCGGCUAACUACGUGCCAGCAGCCGCGGUAAUAC
rnacentral:rRNA from 1 species